rnacentral:rRNA from 1 species
GACGAACCGGACGAACGUUAUUCGGAAUUACUGGGCUUAAAGCGUGCGUAGGCGGCCUGAAGGGUUGGGUGUGAAAUCCCUCGGCUCAACCGAGGAACUGCGCUCAAAACCGCCAGGCUUGAGGGAGACAGGGGUGAGCGGAACUGAUGGUGGAGCGGUGAAAUGCGUUGAUAUCAUCAGGAACACCGGUGGCGAAGGCGGCUCACUGGGUCUCUUCUGACGCUGAGGCACGAAAGCUAGGGUAGCGAACGGG